UUUCUCCUACGGGGCGCAGCAGUGGGGAAUAUUGCACAAUGGGGGGAACCCUGAUGCAGCGACGCCGCGUGAGUGAAGAAGUAUUUCGGUAUGUAAAGCUCUCUCAGCAGGGAAGAAAAUGACGGUACCUGACUAAGAAGCCCCGGCUAACUACGUGCCAGCAGCCGCGGUAAUACGUAGGGGGCAAGCGUUAUCCGGAUUUACUGGGUGUAAAGGUAGCACAGACGGCUGUGCAAGUCUGGAGUGAAAGGCGGGGGCCCAACCCCCGGACUGCU
rnacentral:rRNA from 1 species